AAAGUCGUAACAAGGUUUCCGUAGGUGAACCUGCGGAAGGAUCAUUAUUGAAUAUUUUUCUGCUUCUCUUUUUAGGAGGGGGGGUAGUUUAUUCUUGUGAAUUGGAGUUUUUUUCUUCUUCUUUAUUCGCUUGGGAAGAUUUUUACCUUUAGGGGUUCAAGUUGGAACUUGUGCGUAUGGGGGGGGGAAAUUCUCGUAUUUUUAGUAUUUUUUGAUUUUUUUUUAUAUUUAUAAAGAAAAAAAGACAACUUUCAGCAAUGGAUCUCUUGGCUCUU
rnacentral:misc_RNA from 1 species